ACAAUGCUACCCUCGCGUCUCGGUGCUCGCCUCCAGCGCGCCUGCACCUAAAGAAGUAAACAGGUCAUGGCACGUUUAACAAAAAGACGACAGGCGGACACAAAAGCUAUCCAGCAUCUUUGGGCAGCCAUUGAAAUUAUCAGGAAUCAGAAGCAGAUUGCCAACAUUGAUCGUAUUACAAAGACUGGGAAACAGAAACUCAUGACUGGUAUUGUUUUGAAUGCCAUUUGCCUGGAGAGGUGUUGAUAUGUGACCUGUGUUUUCGUGUGUAUCAUUCCAAGUGUUUGUCUGAUGAGUUCAGGCUUAGAGACAGCAGUAGUCACUGGCAGUGCCCAGUUUGCAGGAGCAUUAAGAAGAAGCAUUCUAACAAGCAGGAGAUGGGCACCUACCUGAGGUUCAUCGUCUCCCGCAUGAAGGAGCGGGCUAUAGACCUUAAUAAAAAAGGAAAGGACAGUAAGCACCCGAUGUACCGGAGACUGGUCCACUCAGCUGUGGACGUCCCUACCAUACAAGAGAAGGUGAAUGAGGGGAAGUACCGGAGUUAUGAGGAGUUCAAGGCUGACGCACAGCUGCUUCUCCACAACACAGUGAUCUUCUAUGGAGGUUCCGUCCUUUUUGUCUUUGUGUACAGUUUGAAAAUAUUAAAUUCUAUCUUCAGAAU
rnacentral:lncRNA from 1 species